UGGUCCUGACACUAGAAGGAUUGACAGAUUGAUAGCUCUUUCUUGAUUUGGUGGAUGGUGGUGCAUGGCCGUUCUUAGUUGGUGGAGUGAUUUGUCUGGUUAAUUCCGAUAACGAACGAGACUCUAGCCUAUUAAAUAACACACAGAAUCAUGUCUUCUGCGGUGUUUCUUAAUGGGAUCAAGUGUGUUUAACACUUUGAAACAGAGCAAUAACAGGUCUGUGAUGCCCUUAGAUGUUCGGGGCCGCACGCGCGCUACAUUGAAAGACAAAAUGAGCGUUUCUGGUUUUUAACAAAACUAGUAAUCUUUGAAUGUUUUUCUUAAUGGGGAUAGGGGAUUGCAAUUGUGCCCCUUGAACGAGGAAUUCCC
rnacentral:rRNA from 1 species